rnacentral:rRNA from 1 species
CUGGAUGCUGACGAGCGGCGGACGGGUGAGUAAUGCAUAGGAAUCUGCCCGAUAGUGGGGGAUAACCUGGGGAAACCCAGGCUAAUACCGCAUACGUCCUACGGGAGAAAGGGGGCUCCGGCUCCCGCUAUGGGAUGAGCCUAUGUCGGAUUAGCUAGUUGGUGAGGUAACGGCUCACCAAGGCCACGAUCCGUAGCUGGUCUGAGAGGAUGAUCAGCCACAUCGGGACUGAGACACGGCCCGAACUCCUACGGGAGGCAGCAGUGGGGAAUAUUGGACAAUGGGGGCAACCCUGAUCCAGCCAUGCCGCGUGUGUGAAGAAGGCCCUCGGGUUGUAAAGCACUUUCAGCGAGGAAGAACGCCUAGCGGUUAAUACCCGCUAGGAAAGACAUCACUCGCAGAAGAAGCACCGGCUAACUCUGUGCCAGCAGCCGCGGUAAUACGGAGGGUGCAAGCGUUAAUCGGAAUUACUGUGCGUAAAGCGCGCGUAGGUGGCUUGAUAAGCCGGUUGUGAAAGCCCCGGGCUCAACCUGGGAACGGCAUCCGGAACUGUCAAGCUAGAGUGCAGGAGAGGAAGGUAGAAUUCCCGGUGUGCGGUGAAAUGCGUAGAGAUCGGGAGG